rnacentral:SRP_RNA from 1 species
UCGUGCUAGACGGGGUGUUAGCGGUACCCUGUAGCCCGCAAUCCGCUAUAGCGGGGUUGAAUUCCUUCGCUUAGAGAUAGUAGCUUCAGAUUACGAUGGCGCAGUAUGCGGUGUUGAUGGUCAGGUCCUGCGCAACGGAUCCUUGCUGAACCCCGUCAGGACCGGAAGG